GGUGAGUAGGGAAGCCUCACAUGAUGGGGCUCCUCCUGAUCUGGUGGCAGACUGGGUCACGCUGAAGGACAUGGUAAGUGGCUGGGUUCAGAAGGAAAGGCAAGUGUGGACGCUUUCCAGGAAUCUGCCAUCAAGACCUGGUGAGCCCACCUCCUGUUCAUAUCCCAGCUCCAUUCUUGCACACCAUAGGGUCACUCUUAUAUAAGAUGUCCUUGUGGCAGGGAGACAGAACCCAGAAUUUCCCACAAGGCAUGAGCCACAGUCCUGACUUUCUGAGCUCCAGGCUGAUCAGUGGUCUCUGUCCUUGCUUGGGGCCCUGUGGUCUGUGGCAGGGCCCAGUGAUACUAUCUCUCCCCAGGAGCUGUUCAAAAACAUGGUGCUCUACCCUUUCCAGGAUUCCACCUGGUUGCAGCAGGGCAAAAAGGCCAAGGAGCAGCUGCCGGCCUCCAUCUGCACCACUGUCAUUCAUCUCCCAAGUGUGUCAUCAGCACCGUCCUCAGGCACUACAUCAUGAAAGCCUCAGGCCAUGCCCAGGUGGUGGAGCACAGGGUCUCCAGGGACCCUCAGGAGUGCCAAAUUCUGAGGAACCGUGCCUCUCUCUCUGGGCUGUGAAUCAGCGUUAUCCAGUGCCUGAUGGAAACCUGGCAAGACUUCUCCAGGUGGCUGCACCUCUCCAUUGGAGCUCCAGGUGAACCAGCACCAUAAACUGGACAAAAUAUGUGCAGAACUUGUCUGUGAAGGUAGAAAUGUCUAGAAUGUAUUUUAUAAAGUUCCCCCAAACUCAAAAUAAAAAAAUCUUAUUUGAAAAGAGCCGAAAGAAAUGAAAGGCAGUUUACGAAAUAGGCAAAUAAAAAUAUGUUGGGCCUGAGUGUAGUGGAGGAGGCCUGUCAAUCAGAUAACUCUGGAGAGAGACUGAGGCAGGAGAAUCACAAGUCCCAGUGCAGUCUGGCAACUUAGUGACCCUGUGAAACCCUUAGCAAAAAGAGAUGAUAUUCACCAUAAUUAGCCAUUAAAGAAAUACAAUUUAAAACCACGAUGUUAUAUCACCAAAACCUGCUCGAAUUGCUAACAUGAAAAAUCCCAGUUACCUAAUGCAAGAGUGGAUGACAAGAAUUCAGGCCUGUCAUAUACUGCUGGUGAAGAAGUCCAUUUCCUGGUUUUAAUAUCACCCUAUUAUUUUUGGAGAUGGCCAACAUUGGGUGAAGCUGGGUAAGGAGUGCAUGGAACAUCUCAUUCCUCAAGUACCUGUGAGUCCAUAAUAAUUUCA
rnacentral:lncRNA from 1 species